UCAGAGGUUCUAUGAACAGAAACAAACCACACUUGGAGAAGAGCAUAAACCUCUCCUCAAUUUUCCUUCACAGUGCAGCAGGCUUGGAGGAAUGAGAGCAUCUCGCUAAAUGUUGUGAAAAUGUGGGACAUGCAAAGGUAUAUUCCAAAAGGCUUUCAAAAUGGUCCUUGGCCCCACCUGAAAUUCCCAAAGUCACCCUGUCCUCUUUCUCAGCUCAUUCUCAGGCUAAGAGAAGCCACACAUUCACCUGCCCUCACGCAAACAGUUCCGACAUCUCACUCCGGGAAGAGAAUAAAAAUGAAAAUUUAUUGUCUUUCACAUCAGUCACCUGAUUUUUAUUAGCCUCCCACGUAGUUUCCUACAAGCACCCAAUCCUGUUUUCACCCAAAGACGUGCUUAAUCUCCCUGUGAGCCCACGUUAUCAGUCCCUUUUUCUUUAAGAGAUGAAACGAUUGGCUACCAAAGUUUUCUAAAAUGCCUGAGGGUUCCAUCAGUAUAAAGCCAGGAGAUGGACUUGAUAAAUCACAUAGAACAAUUUGUCCUCAUCCACCCUUUGCCUCUAACUCCUUUGCCUUUUCAUAGGUGUUUCCCUUUGUCUACAAUGCCACUCAGUCUUUCUUCAAUGAGGUUGUGUCUGUUCUUCAUUCAAGACUCAAGUCUUAGGUCAUUUCUUCUGGGAAGACUUCCUUGACUCUUCUCCUUAUACAUGGAAGUCCCUCAAGUGGGAAGAACAGCUUCUGAGUCCCAAGAACAAUGGGAAAAUGUUUUUCAGACUGUUGUCAUCUCAUCAUUGGAUCUGGAAAAUGACACUUGUGUCUCAAUAGGCCAGAAGCUUUCUGUUUGCUCUGCGCACCUGAUAACAGCACACUCCCUGCAUUGCACGCUAUGGAGAAAUAACGACCGCGAAGGCACCAAAGGGCCUCAGCAAUUUGCAACGCUGACUGACGGAGCAGCCCUGGACAGCUGGGCUUCCUUGAAUGAGACUCCCUCCCUGGAAGUACACAGGUCUUCGUGACACCACUUGCUGGCUGCAAGUUACGGGGAACUUGUGAGGACAGGGUAGCCUUUAGUUGUUCAUGUAGUGCCAAAAGGGGUCCCACCACCUCUUUUGGACUCAGAGUUUCCUAUCAAAACACACUCCCUAGAAUAGCUGAUGCAAAUUCCAUAGUAAGGGCUUAAUUUAGUACAAACUUCAUUAUAGUCACAUCUUCCAUCUAGAUUUUAUUUCUUGACACCGUUUUCUUUGUGGGCAACUGUUAUCGGCAAAAGUCUUCACGGCCUGACCAGAUCCACGGGAAAAGAUAUCACGGGCACACACAUUUUUCCUAGUCCUCUUCCUUUUAAAUGAGAAAUUCUGUAUAACAUUUUCCAUAAGUGAAAGAGAGGACUACUUCCUAGCUUUUUUUGGUUCUUUUUUUUUUUUUGAACAGCAGACCUUCCUUUUGGAUUUACAUCAGCAUUUAGCUAACUUCCUGAACACUUCACCCAUUUCCUGAACUUAUUCUGAGGAAGGAAAAACAUCCUCCUUCAGAAAUAAAUGCAAAUAAUCGCAGAGAUUAUUUUUUAUUAAAUAAAUCGUGUAAAUGCAAUGGAAUUUCCUGCACGAUGUGCAUUUACCAUUGGAUAUUUCUACAAAACUGUUGUGAUCCUGUAGGAACCAUCUCACUGACAGGUACUCUGAGGAAUUAUAACCAUUGUGUAGCUAUUCAAGAGAUAAGUUCUGAACAGUUGGCAGUCUGUAUUCUUGUUAAAAAUAUUUUUUACUGAAAAAUCUGAACGCUAGGGGGAAUUGUUUGCUUUAGGUCCCCAAUUUGGAGGCUUUGUUUCUUUUAAAACAGGGUUCUCGUGACACCUCGUGGUGAAGAGGGGAAGAACAUCUUCAGGGCAGAAUAUCGACUGCAUAGAGUGGCCCAGAAGUUAGGAUUUUCUUGUUUCUGCAUUUCCUUGGGAGAAAACACACUCCUUCUCAGCCUGUGCUGCCCGGGAAUCCUGAGAAGUAGUGACAUGGAAACAGCAACAGUUAUGCAUUUCUGGAGAUGUUCUCUUCUCUUGAUUAGUAAUUCUUCAGAGGCAGCCCACUGCCUACGGCUAAACUGGUUCAGUUGGAAGAAUGAAUAAAAAAAUGUGAGACUUUGCAGAGGAAACACAUCAAUAUGUCAAGCUGGGGUCAGGCUUUUAAGUUUUUAAAUUUUUUAAAUGAAAAUAUUUUCUCUAUUUGUGAGCAGGCCUCCUCCCAUUUAGCCUUCUUUUAGUGGAGAAGAAUGGUACUUGUCUGGUGAAUAAAUCUCAGGGGCAUCUUAGAGAUGUAUUUUAGGCUGGCUUCUCAUCAUUCAUGAAUGCUUUACAGGGCCCUUCUUAUGUUCUCUAGUGUUU